CCUGACCGUGAUCAUGCACAACAUUGUGUUUCCCAUUAUUAAAGCUCACUUAGCCAAAGGUUUACAACCUCCUGGUUUAUUAGGAUCCUAUAUUGGGAAGGUACACAUUAUAAACCCUCAAGUUAAGGUUCUUAAUGAUUACGUGUUGAUUGGAACAGAUAUCGAGUUCGAAGAAAACACCUCAUCUUUUGCACCACUGAGGGAAAAUAUAUUUGUAAAGGCGAUUUAAAGAGAAAUCAAAUGCAUUUACCUCU